rnacentral:ncRNA from 1 species
ACGCCAGUGGCAUAGCCGGGUAGCUAAGUACGGAAGAGAUAACCGCUGAAAGCAUCUAAGCGGGAAGCUUGCCCCGAGAUGAGAUCUCGCGGGCCGCAAGGCCCCUAAAGGUCUGUUUUAGACGAAGACGUAAAUAGGCUGGGUGUGGAAGCGCAGUAAUGAGCGAAGCUAACCAGUACUAAUUGACCGUGAGAGUUGACCAU